AAUGAAGGAACACCUCUUGUUUGGUUGGAGUUUUCAAAGCAGAGAGAUGGAAAAGUAGCAUUUCUAUAGGAAUAAGAUUUUCAUGUUUCAUGAGAAAGAAAAACUUAUGAGAGACAUGGAAAAGCUAUUUUUCCAUCGGUUGGAAAUUAGAAUUUUUUUUUUUCCAAAACUAUCCUUAAGCCAUCAAAAUUUAUGGAUAAGGUCUUUCUCUUAAGGGUAUAAUAGAUAUUUCACACAACUUUUUUAGGAAAAUAGAUGUUCAAUCAAACAUAAGCCACUCCGGAAUGUACAACUUUCCUAGGCAUUAUAUUCCUAGAAUCAAUUUCCUAGAAAAAAUAUUCUGAUAAGAGAAAAUUCUUUCCGUGAACCACAUGAGUCUUGCGCGUUAUUGUAUGAGCCAUGGUAGGGAAGGAGAUACUUGUUCAGCUUGGUAUUCUAGCUAUAAUUUCUGUCUUUGCAAAAUCAAGCUAAAAUUUUCAUAUUUUGGGACUUCGGGUAAUCAAAAAAUUUGCAUUUAGUAAUCUAACCUUUUUUGAGAACUAAGUAAUUACGAAAGGUUUAUAAUUGCUCAGUUCUGCAUUGAGAUGGGGAUUUUGUUAGUCAGCCGCUGGAAAAAGUCUAAUAAAGUGUCGAAAACAAAAUAAAAACUAUAUUUGAUAUAUGAACUCUGUGCUUUCUUCCUUUGAUUUUUGCGAACUUUCCCACUACUCUCUGUUUUCAUUUGAUCAGACUGCUGAUGGCACAGUUUGGGUCCUUUUAGACGGUUGCUGGUCAGCAAAUGAACUUCUAAGAGAUGAUUGGCUCUGAAAUUAUUAUCCAUGGUCAACCCUUAUGGGCCAAUCAAAGUACAAGGUAAAUGGACCAGUGGUGUUUAAUCUGUUUUGUCUCUCCAAGUUUUAUUCGCUGUAUGGGUUGGCCACUGUACAGGUUGGUUUUAUGACUUGGGCUAACCUCGUAUCAGUUCUGCAUGAAUUGGUGCUCAUCUAAUGAUCAUUUGGUGGAUGGAAAGGUAUAAUUAUUGUUCAUGUAGCUUGAUUUCAUUUGGACAGGAAUCAAGCUUAAGACCAGAGAAAUCAGUGAUGUAGUGAAUUAUUGAAUGUACAAAAUUGUAUCAUCUCUUAACAUGUGAAUAUCCAUGCAAGACUUUCAGGCAGUCA